UUCGGAAUAACUUCGGGGAAACUGAAGCUAAAUACCGGAUGAUGACGUAAGUCCAAAGAUUUAUCACCCAAGGAUGAGCCCGCGUAGGAUUAGCUAGUUGGUGAGGUAAAGGCUCACCAAGGCGACGANCCUUAGCUGGUCUGAGAGGAUGAUCAGCCACACUGGGACUGAGACACGGCCCAGACUCCUACGGGAGGCAGCAGUGGGGAAUAUUGGACAAUGGGCGAAAGCCUGAUCCAGCAAUGCCGCGUGAGUGAUGAAGGCCUUAGGGUUGUAAAGCUCUUUUACCCGGGAUGAUAAUGACAGUACCGGGAGAAUAAGCUCCGGCUAACUCCGUG
rnacentral:rRNA from 1 species